rnacentral:rRNA from 1 species
AUUGAACGCUGGCGGCAUGCUUUACACAUGCAAGUCGAACGGCAGCGCGGGGCAACCUGGCGGCGAGUGGCGAACGGGUGAGUAAUAUAUCGGAACGUACCCAAGAGUGGGGGAUAACGUAGCGAAAGUUACGCUAAUACCGCAUACGAUCUAAGGAUGAAAGCAGGGGAUCUUCGGACCUUGUGCUCCUGGAGCGGCCGAUAUCUGAUUAGCUAGUUGGUGAGGUAAAGGCUCACCAAGGCCACGAUCAGUAGCUGGUCUGAGAGGACGACCAGCCACACUGGAACUGAGACACGGUCCAGACUCCUACGGGAGGCAGCAGUGGGGAAUUUUGGACAAUGGGCGAAAGCCUGAUCCAGCAAUGCCGCGUGAGUGAAGAAGGCCUUCGGGUUGUAAAGCUCUUUUGUCAGGGAAGAAACGGUGAAGGCUAAUAUCCUUCGCUAAUGACGGUACCUGAAGAAUAAGCACCGGCUAACUACGUGCCAGCCGCCGCCGUAACAC